UCCCAAGUGGCUCAGUGCUAAAGAACCUGCCUGCCAAGCAGGAGAUGCAGAUUUGAUCCCUGGGUUGGGAA
rfam:Ovis aries breed Texel chromosome 6, whole genome shotgun sequence.